rfam:Oryza glumipatula chromosome 11, whole genome shotgun sequence.
AAUAAGUACAGUUUUGUACUGUUUAUAUCCAACGUUUAACUGUAUAUCUUAUUUAAAAUUUUUUAGAUUAUUAUUAUUAUUAAAUAAUAAAACAUAAAUAUUACUUUAUGUGCGACUAUUUUUUUUUUAUUUUUUCAUAAAUUAUUUAAAUGAAACGGACAAUCAAACGUUGGACACGAUAUCUACGGCUAGACUUAUU